rnacentral:rRNA from 1 species
AUUGAACGCUGGCGGCAGGCUUAACACAUGCAAGUCGAACGAGUGGCGGACGGGUGAGUAAUGCUUGGGAAUCUAGCUUAUGGAGGGGGAUAACUACGGGAAACUGUAGCUAAUACCGCGUACCAUAGGAUGAGCCCAAGUGGGAUAAGGUAGUUGGUGAGGUAAAGGCUCACCAAGCCGACGAUCUCUAGCUGGUCUGAGAGGAUGACAAGUCACACUGGGACUGAGACACGGACCAGACUCCUACGGGAGGCAGCAGUGGGGAAUAUGGGGCAAUGGGGGAAACCUGACGCAGCCAUGCCGGUUGAAUGAAGAAGGCCUUCGGGUUGUAAAGUUCUUUCGGUAGCGAGGCGUUAACUACAGAAGAAGCACCGGCUAACUCCGUGCCAGCAGCCGCGGUAAUUC